UUUUGGAAAAAUAAAUAUUUCUAUUUAAAAAAUUGAUUUCACUAAAUAAAUGGUGGAGGGGCGGGGAUACCCGAAUCCAACCCGAACCCGUUUGGGACGGGUUUGGGUUUUGAUUCUCCAUCCCCGUUUGAAUUUGGGGCGGGGAAUGGGGAUUGUUUGGGGGUUUGGGUUUGGGGGAGGUAAAAACCGUCCCUUACCCGCCCUGUUGUCAUGCCUAGUUUGGAGGGUUACAUUCCAAUGAAAGGUAAAUUUAUUAAUUCAAGUAGUUAAUAGUAUACGACGGUUUCAUUUGAACACUCUCAGUUCAAUACCCUUUUCUUAAAACUACUUGUGAAUUUUAACCCACGAUUCCCUUUAAUCUUAGAUCCCCUCACUUUCACUCAAAUACGCUGAAGUGUUUACAAUAAAACAAUUAUAUGUGGUGUGAUUCAAAGCAGAAUCACAUACCAAAUACCCUUUCCUUCUAAAAUAAUAAAGACUCUUAAGAUCGAGUAUUAUAUAAGAAAACACAUAAGACUCAAAAUACAGGGCUCAAAAUAAAUCUUCAAAAUAAGUUGUAUUCAAAUAAGGUGAACCACCUCCUUAAAUAACAAAUAUGAUCCAUCAUAAACAACUAAUCCAAUAUUCUUCAUUAAAACCGAGUUAAAUUCAAAAACAACGAAUCAAAUAUUCUUCAUUAAAACCAAAAUUAAAUCUUUUUAAUUAAAUCGUAUCCAAUCAAAGCCAUCUUCAAAUAUAUGAUUUAAUAAAAUCUUCUUUAAAUUGAUUUGAUUAGAAAUACUUCUUGUAAACAUAAUCUUUACCCACUUCUAAAAUAAUUAAAAUCGAAACAACUUGAAUAAAUGUUAAAGCAAUUGAGGUCACAUAAAAAGGUGUGUCAUAGUCAAUUAGAAAGAAAAAAACUCACAACAAAUUAAGACAAAGGACUUAAUAUAUUGACUACAAAAAUUAAUCAAUCAUCUUAUAAUAACAACCUAUUCAAUAAUAUAUAUUGCGCAAAAUAAUUCAGAUAAAAAAAUUAUUCAUUGAUUAAUAAUAAAUAAUAUAUAUAAACAAUUUUUUCAAAUUAUGAAUAAAAUUUCCCAAACAAUAGUUUGAUAUAAACAAAUAAAAAAUAUAUAAAAUAUCCACUAUAACCCAUUUAGAUCGAGUAAAGUAUAAAAUGAACAAAAUAAAUAUUUUAAUUUUAAUAAACUAUAAUUUAUGAUAAUUAAUCUAUACGAUUCUCCUUUAAAUUACUAAUCAAUCAUAGAUAGGAUACACUUCACCCUCUAAAAUGAAUAUUCACUUUAAAGAAACAGGAUCCAAAGCAUUAUUCAUG
rnacentral:lncRNA from 1 species